GAUGAACGCUGGCGGCGUGCCUAAUACAUGCAAGUCGAGCGAACGGACGAGAAGCUUGCUUCUCUGAUGUUAGCGGCGGACGGGUGAGUAACACGUGGAUAACCUACCUAUAAGACUGGGAUAACUUCGGGAAACCGGAGCUAAUACCGGAUGAUAUUUUGAACCGCAUGGUUCAAAAGUGAAAGACGGUCUUGCUGUCACUUAUAGAUGGAUCCGCGCUGCAUUAGCUAGUUGGUAAGGUAACGGCUUACCAAGGCAACGAUGCAUAGCCGACCUGAGAGGGUGAUCGGCCACACUGGAACUGAGACACGGUCCAGACUCCUACGGGAGGCAGCAGUAGGGAAUCUUCCGCAAUGGGCGAAAGCCUGACGGAGCAACGCCGCGUGAGUGAUGAAGGUCUUCGGAUCGUAAAACUCUGUUAUUAGGGAAGAACAUAUGUGUAAGUAACUGUGCACAUCUUGACGGUACCUAAUCAGAAAGCCACGGCUAACUACGUGCCAGCAGCCGCGGUAAUACGUAGGUGGCAAGCGUUAUCCGGAAUUAUUGGGCGUAAAGCGCGCGUAGCGGUUUUUUAAGUCUGAUGUGAAAGCCCACGGCUCAACCGUGGAGGGUCAUUGGAAACUGGAAAACUUGAGUGCAGAAGAGGAAAGUGGAAUUCCAUGUGUAGCGGUGAAAUGCGCAGAGAUAUGGAGGAACACCAGUGGCGAAGGCGACUUUCUGGUCUGUAACUGACGCUGAUGUGCGAAAGCGUGGGGAUCAAACAGGAUUAGAUACCCUGGUAGUCCACGCCGUAAACGAUGAGUGCUAAGUGUUAGGGGGUUUCCGCCCCUUAGUGCUGCAGCUAACGCAUUAAGCACUCCGCCUGGGGGGUACGACCGCAAGGUUGAAACUCAAAGGAAUUGACGGGGACCCGCACAAGCGGUGGAGCAUGUGGUUUAAUUCGAAGCAACGCGAAGAACCUUACCAAAUCUUGACAUCCUUUGACAACUCUAGAGAUAGAGCCUUCCCCUUCGGGGGACAAAGUGACAGGUGGUGCAUGGUUGUCGUCAGCUCGUGUCGUGAGAUGUUGGGUUAAGUCCCGCAACGAGCGCAACCCUUAAGCUUAGUUGCCAUCAUUAAGUUGGGCACUCUAAGUUGACUGCCGGUGACAAACCGGAGGAAGGUGGGGAUGACGUCAAAUCAUCAUGCCCCUUAUGAUUUGGGCUACACACGUGCUACAAUGGACAAUACAAAGGGCAGCGAAACCGCGAGGUCAAGCAAAUCCCAUAAAGUUGUUCUCAGUUCGGAUUGUAGUCUGCAACUCGACUACAUGAAGCUGGAAUCGCUAGUAAUCGUAGAUCAGCAUGCUACGGUGAAUACGUUCCCGAGUCU
rnacentral:rRNA from 1 species